CCAAAAGGGGGCGGGGACAAAAUUGACAGUUAAGUUCCCGGAUGUGGCGGUUGUGCGUAUGCGCAUGCGCACUCUGCAUUCUGAGGAACGCCUUUGAGUCCAAACCGAAAGUAAAGACUCGAUUCUGACGGAUGUAAAUUCACAUUUCGAGGCCUUAAAAACUGACAUAAAUAUCACAUGACGAGGAACAGAUGUGAACAUUUAAAUAAAAUACAACAGCUGUGACUGCAGUCGAAGUGGAAGAGAGACACUCUGAAAGGUCUGAAGUCAGUUUCUCAUGAUGGAGAACAGACAGAGAUCUUCAUCUCCAGACCCCAGCUGUGUGUCUAUGAAGAGUGACAGAUCCAUGGGUCAUCCUCCUAAUAUCAGUGAUGAAGCAGUGACCUC